GGAGGCACAACAGCUCAGAUAAAAACUCGCUACGACGGAGGAUACAGGAAGUGGGUGGUGUCACAGUCACAGGGUCAAUGGAGGGGUGAGGAAGAGGUAGUAUACACACAGUCACAGGGUCAAUGGAGGGGUGAGGAAGAGGUAGUAUACACACAGUCACAGGGUCAAUGGAGGGGUGAGGAAGAGGUAGUAUACACACAGUCACAGGGUCAAUGGAGGGGUGAGGAAGAGGUAGUAUACACACAGUCACAGGGUCAAUGGAGGGGUGAAGUAGUAAACAGUAUACACACAGUCACAGGGUCAAUGGAGGGGUGAAGUAGUGGAUAGUCCACACAUUGUCACAGAACCCAUCGGUUUGGAUGAAGGGGUGAGGGGGUGAGGGGGCGUGGCCUCACCUCUGUUUCCUGUAGUCGUUGAGUUUCUUGCUAAUCAGGGCCUGUCUGGAGAAGCCAAACUCCUACAAGAAACAACAACAAACAGAACAAAAAACUGUCACGGAAACCAACUCAACAAACGUCGCGAAGACACAACCGUGCCAGGCGGGGGUUUCUGAAGGGGUCAAAGGUCAAAGGUGAGGACGGCGCGACCCCUGACCUCGUUGUCGGUCUUGCCGUUCUCCCGGAUGACCUUGAUCCAGGCCAGCAUGUCCUCGCGGUCGUCGGCCUGCAGCAGGUACUCGCAGAAGUCCUGCGUGGUGAGGCGCAGCGCGUGCUUCCUCUUGGUCUCGCUGUAGGCGAUGUCCACCAGGCAGCCCCGGAUGCUGAUUGGCUGGUCGUCCUCGGCCCCGCCCCCCACGGUGGCCCCGCGGAGCACCGCCUCCCGCUUGUCCUUGUACAGGAAGAGCGAAUGGGAGCGCAGCACCGAGAAGACCCGCCUCCACGGACGCAUGCCGCCGCCCACC
ensembl:lncRNA